GACGAACGCUGGCGGCGUGCUUAACACAUGCAAGUCGAACGGUAAGGCCCUUCGGGGUACACGAGUGGCGAACGGGUGAGUAACACGUGGGUGAUCUGCCCUGCACUUCGGGAUAAGCCUGGGAAACUGGGUCUAAUACCGGAUAGGACCAUGCGCCUCACGGUGUGUGGUGGAAAGCUUUUGCGGUGUGGGAUGGGCCCGCGGCCUAUCAGCUUGUUGGUGGGGUAAUGGCCUACCAAGGCGAGGACGGGUAGCCGGCCUGAGAGGGUGACCGGCCACACUGGGACUGAGAUACGGCCCAGACUCCUACGGGAGGCAGCAGUGGGGAAUAUUGCACAAUGGGCGCAAGCCUGAUGCAGCGACGCCGCGUGAGGGAUGACGGCCUUCGGGUUGUAAACCUCUUUCAGUAGGGACGAAGCGCAAGUGACGGUACCUACAGAAGAAGGACCGGCCAACUACGUGCCAGCAGCCGCCGUAA
rnacentral:rRNA from 1 species